rnacentral:rRNA from 1 species
UACAGAGGUGGCAAGCGUUGUUCGGAAUUACUGGGCGUAAAGGGCGCGUAGGCGGCCUUCUAAGUCAGACGUGAAAUCCCCCGGCUUAACCUGGGAACUGCGUCUGAUACUGGGAGGCUUGAGUAUGGGAGAGGGAUGUAGAAUUCCAGGUGUAGCGGUGAAAUGCGUAGAUAUCUGGAGGAAUACCGGUGGCGAAGGCGGCAUCCUGGACCAUAACUGACGCUGAGGCGCGGAAGCUAGGGGAGCAAACGGG